CUUGCACCUAAACCCAAGAAUCACUGUUUUUGUAGCACUGGUUUAAACAGAGGUGCAAACAGCAGGUGGAUCUCAUCGCCUUUGGGGAGCUGUGGCUGUGCGCCUCAAAGUGAAUUUGGAGGUCCUUCAUUC
rnacentral:snoRNA from 1 species